AGUGAACGCUGGCGGUAGGCCUAACACAUGCAAGUCGAACGGCAGCACAGUAAGAGCUUGCUCUUACGGGUGGCGAGUGGCGGACGGGUGAGGAAUACAUCGGAAUCUACUUUUUCGUGGGGGAUAACGUAGGGAAACUUACGCUAAUACCGCAUACGACCUACGGGUGAAAGCAUGGGAUCUUCGGACCUUGCGCGAUUGAAUGAGCCGAUGUCGGAUUAGUUAGUUGGCGGGGUAAAGGCCCACCAAGGCGACGAUCCGUAGCUGGUCUGAGAGGAUGAUCAGCCACACUGGAACUGAGACACGGUCCAGACUCCUACGGGAGGCAGCAGUGGGGAAUAUUGGGCAAUGGGCGCGAGCCUGAUCCAGCCAUACCGCGUGGGUGAAGAAGGCCUUCGGGUUGUAAAGCCCUUUUGUUGGGAAAGAAAAGCAGCAGGUUAAUACCCCGCUGUUCUGACGGUACCCAAAGAAUAAGCACCGGCUAACUUCGUG
rnacentral:rRNA from 1 species